rnacentral:pre_miRNA from 1 species
UUAUAAUUAAGUCGUCUGCAAAGUCUUCCAGCUGGAAGACUUUCCAGACGACUUAAUUAUA